UGGGUUUAUAUUUAGGUAUUGAACAUAACUGCCUGUGGUCACUCUAUUCACAGGUCGGUCUGUAAGGUCUAAAAUGCAUUAAUCCCAGGGAUGAGCAAACAGAAGAUUCAGAUGAAUAUGAAGAGCUGCUCCCAGCAGGAUAUCAAGGCAGAGCUACCUCCUGUAUCUGUGUCUAACAUCCUUCUGUAGGAUGAAGGAAGAGCUUGUACCAGUUCUCCCGUGUCAGUGCUCCUAUCAGUUUUGCCCACUGGUCUGAUUGUGAAGUCCUUUCCUCAUUAUUUGUGAGUAAUUUGCAUUUUAAUAGUAGGAAGAAGGGAAGAACCCUGUCGUGAGGGAAUUUGCAUGUGUUUACAAACGGGUGAAUUCUAAGUCUGAUUUAUGUGAAGGUAUAGGUGAGUUUUAAACUACUGCAUGUGAUGCUCAGGUGUUGUUUAGUACUUUCUCAGUUGCUUUAAAAACACAGAAUAAAACUUGAUUCCUUCCUUUCAGAAAAGCUGGCAGCAGCCCAGUUUUUCUAGGAUAAGGCCAGAAGUAAAACACAGCUGCAAUGUUUGUCUGCUACUCUUUAUGAGCCAAAGUUUUCCCAACUACCUUCAAUUUGCAGUCCUGUCCUUUAACCUGUGGGAGAGCAAGAUAUGCAGAUCAUAGUUAUGAAAAUAAUUCUGGGUUUAUUCUAUUCAGAUUUAUACUUUGAGCCUUUUUAAGAAGAAUCUUUUUUAUGCCAAGAAGAUGGGAAGGUUUAUAAACCAUGAAGAAUGGUGUAAUGGAAUAGGGGUUGUAUUUCUAGAAUUAAAUCUCUUGAAAAUCCCAUUUUAAAAGGACUGACACUAUUUCAUGAUUUUAUGUAAAAUGAAAGAUUUCUACUGAUGACUAACUUUCAUAAAAGUGCUUCCUAAUAAAAGAUAUUAGUAAUUUCAAAGGAAUAAUUAAAAUCGUGGGAAGAAGUUAGUAAUACUGAGUAAGGACAAUUUGCUUGAAUCCUUGAGAAAUAAUAAGGAAAUGAGCUAACACCACUUACCAUCACAGUCCAGUCAGAGCCAAACAAAAGAGGGCUGAGGAAGAUGCAAUAAUGGCUCAGGAUGGGUUGGAUCACACCCUCCCUCGUGCACACGAGCAAUUAUCAGUCAGGUGGUGUUUGUUAUUGUUUUAAUUAGCUGCGCCGUUACUGGGCUACAAGAACUACAGCUCAAAUAGGCAACACGUUUGCUGGCAUUUGCCUUGAGAACUGACCUGUUUCCAUAGCUGGUUCCUGUGUAGAAAUUA
rnacentral:lncRNA from 13 species